GUGCCAGCAGCCGCGGUAAUACGUAGGGCGCAAGCGUUAUCCGGAAUUAUUGGGCGUAAAGAGCUCGUAGGCGGUUUGUCGCGUCUGCUGUGAAAUCCCGAGGCUCAACCUCGGGUCUGCAGUGGGUACGGGCAGACUAGAGUGCGGUAGGGGAGAUUGGAAUUCCUGGUGUAGCGGUGGAAUGCGCAGAUAUCAGGAGGAACACCGAUGGCGAAGGCAGAUCUCUGGGCCGUAACUGACGCUGAGGAGCGGAAAGGGUGGGAGC
rnacentral:rRNA from 1 species